rnacentral:rRNA from 1 species
AUUGAACGCUGGCGGCAGGCCUAACACAUGCAAGUCGAGCGAGCGGCGGACGGGUGAGUAAUGUCUGGGAAACCGCCUGAUGGAGGGGGAUAACUACUGGAAACGGGAGUUAAUACCCCAUACCAUCAGAUGUGCCCAGUUGGGAUUAGCUAGUUGGUGGGGUAACGGCUCACCUAGGCGACGAUCCAUAGCUGACCUGAGAGGAUGACCAGCCACACUGGAACUGAGACACGGUCCAGACUCCUACGGGAGGCAGCAGUGGGGAAUAUUGCACAAUGGGCGCAAGCCUGAUGCAGCCAUGCCGCGUGUGUGAAGAAGGCCUUCGGGUUGUAAAGCACUUUCAGCGGGGAGGCGUUACCCGAAGAAGAAGCACCGGCUAACUCCGUGCCAGCAGCCGCGGUAAUUC